rnacentral:misc_RNA from 1 species
CAGAAACCAUUGAAACGUUUACCGUCGUGCCCUGUCCCAAGUAUUUCUUUUAAGGAGAGCUAUAGAAUUACUUCAUGCCUCUGUUAGACAAAACGUUCAUCCCUUUGACCGCGGCUACGUUCGGCGACUGAUUGUCGCCUCGAGCCCGAGCUCACUAUCAUAAAUCUCAAAUAAAUACAGUCGGAUCGAAUGACAACAGUUUCUUAAUACGGCUAUGGUGAAAUCUAAAUUACAAUACUAGGGGUCUUCCCAAAGUUCCAAAGGGAAGGUUCCGGUGUUCUUUCAUCUCCGACAUAUAUAUAUAUAUAUAUAUAUAUAUAUG